UACAGAGGUCCCAAGCGUUGUUCGGAUUCACUGGGCGUAAAGGGUGCGUAGGUGGUGAGGUAAGUCGGAUGUGAAAGUCUAGGGCUCAACCCUGGAAAGCCGGCCGAUACUGUCGGACUAGAGUCCGGAAGAGGCGAGUGGAAUUCCCGGUGUAGCGGUGAAAUGCGCAGAUAUCGGGAGGAACACCAAUGGCGAAGGCAGCUCGCUGGGACGGUACUGACGCUGAGGCGCGAAAGCGUGGGGAGCGAACAGG
rnacentral:rRNA from 1 species